UCAUGGUUAGCUCAGUCGGUAGAGCGCUUCACUGGAAAUGGAGAGGUCCCUGGUUCGACACCACGAUAAUGCG
rnacentral:tRNA from 1 species